rnacentral:misc_RNA from 1 species
UAACGCGAAGAACCUUACCAGGUCUUGACAUCUUGCGCUAACCUUAGAGAUAAGGCGUUCCCUUCGGGGACGCAAUGACAGGUGGUGCAUGGUCGUCGUCAGCUCGUGUCGUGAGAUGUUGGGUUAAGUCCCGCAACGAGCGCAACCCUUGUUACUAGUUGCCAGCAUUAAGUUGGGCACUCUAGUGAGACUGCCGGUGACAAACCGGAGGAAGGUGGGGACGACGUCAGAUCAUCAUGCCCCUUAUGACCUGGGCUACACACGUGCUACAAUGGACGGUACAACGAGUCGCAAGCUCGCGAGAGUAAGCUAAUCUCUUAAAGCCGUUCUCAGUUCGGACUGUAGGCUGCAACUCGCCUACACGAAGUCGGAAUCGCUAGUAAUCGCGGAUCAGCAUGCCGCGGUGAAUACGUUCCCGGGUCUUGUACACACCGA